GGAGCGUUCUGUAAGCCUGCGAAGGUGUGCUGUGAGGCAUGCUGGAGGUAUCAGAAGUGCGAAUGCUGACAUAAGUAACGAUAAAGCGGGUGAAAAGCCCGCUCGCCGGAAGACCAAGGGUUCCUGUCCAACGUUAAUCGGGGCAGGGUGAGUCGACCCCUAAGGCGAGGCCGAAAGGCGUAGUCGAUGGGAAACAGGUUAAUAUUCCUGUACUUGGUGUUACUGCGAAGGGGGGACGGAGAAGGCUAUGUUGGCCGGGCGACGGUUGUCCCGGUUUAAGCGUGUAGGCUGGUUUUCCAGGCAAAUCCGGAAAAUCAAGGCUGAGGCGUGAUGACGAGGCACUACGGUGCUGAAGCAACAAAUGCCCUGCUUCCAGGAAAAGCCUCUAAGCAUCAGGUAACAUCAAAUCGUACCCCAAACCGACACAGGUGGUCAGGUAGAGAAUACCAAGGCGCUUGAGAGAACUCGGGUGAAGGAACUAGGCAAAAUGGUGCCGUAACUUCGGGAGAAGGCACGCUGAUAUGUAGGUGAAGUCCCUUGCGGAUGGAGCUGAAAUCAGUCGAAGAUACCAGCUGGCUGCAACUGUUUAUUAAAAACACAGCACUGUGCAAACACGAAAGUGGACGUAUACGGUGUGACGCCUGCCCGGUGCCGGAAGGUUAAUUGAUGGGGUCAGCGCAAGCGAAGCUCUUGAUCGAAGCCCCGGUAAACGGCGGCCGUAACUAUAACGGUCCUAAGGUAGCGAAAUUCCUUGUCGGGUAAGUUCCGACCUGCACGAAUGGCGUAAUGAUGGCCAGGCUGUCUCCACCCGAGACUCAGUGAAAUUGAACUCGCUGUGAAGAUGCAGUGUACCCGCGGCAAGACGGAAAGACCCCGUGAACCUUUACUAUAGCUUGACACUGAACAUUGAGCCUUGAUGUGUAGGAUAGGUGGGAGGCUUUGAAGUGUGGACGCCAGUCUGCAUGGAGCCGGCCUUGAAAUACCACCCUUUAAUGUUUGAUGUUCUAACGUGGACCCGUGAUCCGGGUUGCGGACAGUGUCUGGUGGGUAGUUUGACUGGGGCGGUCUCCUCCUAAAGAGUAACGGAGGAGCACGAAGGUUGGCUAAUCCUGGUCGGACAUCAGGAGGUUAGUGCAAUGGCAUAAGCCAGCUUGACUGCGAGCGUGACGGCGCGAGCAGGUGCGAAAGCAGGUCAUAGUGAUCCGGUGGUUCUGAAUGGAAGGGCCAUCGCUCAACGGAUAAAAGGUACUCCGGGGAUAACAGGCUGAUACCGCCCAAGAGUUCAUAUCGACGGCGGUGUUUGGCACCUCGAUGUCGGCUCAUCACAUCCUGGGGCUGAAGUAGGUCCCAAGGGUAUGGCUGUUCGCCAUUUAAAGUGGUACGCGAGCUGGGUUUAGAACGUCGUGAGACAGUUCGGUCCCUAUCUGCCGUGGGCGCUGGAGAACUGAGGGGGGCUGCUCCUAGUACGAGAG
rnacentral:rRNA from 1 species